rnacentral:tRNA from 1 species
UAAUGUUUGGUUUAAGUAAAACAUAAACUUUGUAAGUUUAAAAUCUAAUUUAAA